ACUCCUGCGGGAGGCAGCAGUGGGGAAUAUUGGACAAUGGGCGCAAGCCUGAUCCAGCCAUGCCGCGUGAGUGAUGAAGGCCCUAGGGUUGUAAAGCUCUUUCACCGGUGAAGAUAAUGACGGUAACCGGAGAAGAAGCCCCGGCUAACUUCGUGCCAGCAGCCGCGGUAAUACGAAGGGGGCUAGCGUUGUUCGGAUUUACUGGGCGUAAAGCGCACGUAGGCGGACUAUUAAGUCAGGGGUGAAAUCCCGGGGCUCAACCCCGGAACUGCCUUUGAUACUGGUAGUCUUGAGUUCGAGAGAGGUGAGUGGAAUUCCGAGUGUAGAGGUGAAAUUCGUAGAUAUUCGGAGGAACACCAGUGGCGAAGGCGGCUCACUGGCUCGAUACUGACGCUGAGGUGCGAAAGCGUGGGGAGCAAACAGGAUUAGAUACCCUUGUAGUCCCAUGA
rnacentral:rRNA from 1 species